GCCGCCAUCGUCUAGUGGCCUAGGACAUCAGCUUCUCAAGCUGAAAACACCGGUUCAAAUCCGGUUGGCGGCACAA
rnacentral:tRNA from 1 species